UUUUUUUUUUUUGUUAUUAUUUGUUUUGGGGGUUUUGGGAUUUUUUGGGGUUUUUUUUUUGGCUUGUGUUUUUGGGUUUUUUUCUUUCUUUACUUUAAAAGGGAGAUUGCUAGGGAAAAGGGAAACUUCAGUAAACUAUUCAAGUGCUGCUUGGUAAAUGGCAAUGUCUCCUCUAUCAGCAGUUCUGGCUGGAAUUCACAUGUGUUCUCACAGGUCCUCCACUGACUGACAACUGUAUUUUCAGCCCACCACUUUGGAUGUGAGCUUUGCACUGGAAGUCAUUGGAAAGUGAUCUCCCGUGCUGCUGUGGAGAGGUUGGAGUUGGCCCUCCAGAGGCUGUCCAUCAAUGUCAGUCAUUGAAGGAGGCUAAUUUGAGGCAGCGUGGUGUAAGCAGAGGGUAGCGGCAAGAACUUUAAGUAGUAGAUUAAAUAAAAAUGGAGAGUUUUAAAAUAGAUUUAUACAGUGAACCAGAGCUCAUGUUGAGUACUGAAUUCCAGUAUUAAGGUUGCUGCACGGAUCAUACACCACAUCUUAUUUAACAUUUUGAGGUAUGGUUUCAACCAGUUCUUUUGUUACUCUUCUGUGAAGAUCAUCAUUUGAUGUUCCAGCUGUUAAAACUUUAUUUUUUUUUACUUUGUUUUACAGAUGUUACCACAUAUUAAAUAUUUUUUAAAUAGAAUUGCUCUGUAUUGAUUGCAAAGUAUUGUAUUUUGCAGUAAUUGUGUAAAUCGACCCAUGUCAUUGGUAUGUGUGUUUGUCUGUACCUGUAAGGCAUAAGAAAUUGACAUACUGCCUUUAGAA